ensembl:lncRNA
ACUAUAGCAACCAUGUUUUUUGGUUUUAUUUGUAGUAAAACCACGGUUAAUUUCCGUAAGGGUGUUCUUCUAGUUAUUUAACUAUAGGCUUAUGCAUCAAAAGUCUCAUUCAUUCACAGAAACACUUCCAAAACAGGGUGGAUAAAGGCUGUUUGAAUAGCUUAGUUUUUGUUAUUGUUUGUCUAGAGUCAGUGGAGAUCAAACUGUUCAGAUCCAUCAUGGAUGAAACACAAACAUCUGGAGAUGAAGAUUUUUUUCCAGGAUGCAGGUACUUUAAAUAACACAUGAAAUAAACUAUUAUGAUAUAGAAGAGAUGGCUGUCUAUAGCCAGAAUAAAUAAAUUAAUUAAUUAAGCUCAAUAUUUAUUGAAAACAAUAACACCAUAAAGCCCCCAUAAGUGUGUUUAAUUAGCAAUAAUUUUUGAAGAUUUUAUAUUAAGAUGAUUCUCAUAAUAAUGGAUUAAAUUUGUUCUGUUUUAGCUCAGUUCAUCAGAAGAGAUCAGAAGCAGAGCCCAGCUGUGUGUCUAUGAAGAGUGACGCGUCUAUGAUUGAGCCAACAAAGUUUAACAGUGGAGAUAUACGGCCUGGUCUCUGUUCAGUUCAUCAGAAGAGAUCAGAAGCAGAGCCCAGCUGUGUGUCUGUGAAGAGUGACUGGUCUAUGCCUGCACCAAUAAACUUUAAGAGUGUAGAUUCAUGGCCUGAUCUCAGGUAUAACGUUCAUAUAAAAAUAUAAUUAUAACAUGACAUUUAAUAUUGUCACAUAUUAUAGCAGUUCAGUUCACUAUUUUUGUAUAAACAUUGAAUUAAAUGAUUACUAAGUGCUCUUUACAUACAAUCAUUUGCAUACAGUAAUUUAAAGGAUGAAAUGUAAUCUCUCUGUUUUAGUUCAGUUCAUCAGAAGAGAUCAGAAGCAGAGUCCAGCUGUGUGUCUGUGAAGAGUGACGCGUCUAUGGAAUGUCAAGAACAAUUCAAGAGUGGAGAUACAUGGCCUGCUCUCAGGUAUAACAUUUCUGUAAAAGAUAUGAUUUGAAGAUAUGAUACAGAAUAUGAGACAUUGGGCUUAUUAACUCAUGCAAUAUUGUGGGAUUUUUAUUUUGCAGCAAUGAAGUCCUCA